UACGUAGGGAGCAAGCGUUGUCCGGAUUUAUUGGGCGUAAAGCGCUCGCAGGUGGUUCGUCGCGUCGUGCGUGAAAGACCCCGGCUCAACUGGGGAGGGUCGUGCGAUACGGGCGGACUGGAGGCCAGUAGGGGGAUGCGGAAUUCCGGGUGUAGUGGUGGAAUGCGUAGAGAUCCGGAGGAACACCAGCGGCGAAGGCGGCAUCCUGGACUGGUCCUGACACUCAGGAGCGAAAGCGUGGGGAGCGAUCCGG
rnacentral:rRNA from 1 species